rnacentral:rRNA from 1 species
GGUACGGGUUGUGAGAGCAAGAGCCUGGAGACGGUAUCUGAGACAAGAUACCGGGCCCUACGGGGCGCAGCAGGCGCGAAACCUUUACACUGCACGACAGUGCGAUAGGGGGACUCCGAGUGUGAGGGCAUAUAGCCCUCGCUUUUCCUGAACCGUAAGGUGGUUCAGGAACAAGGACUGGGCAAGACCGGUGCCAGCCGCCGCGGUAAUACCGGCAGUCCAAGUGAUGGCCGAUAUUAUUGGGCCUAAAGCGUCCGUAGCUAUUCCGGUUGAU